GAUGAACGCUAGCGGGAGGCCUAACACAUGCAAGCCGAGCGGUAGAGUUUCUUCGGAAACUUGAGAGCGGCGCACGGGUGCGUAACACGUGUGCAACCUACCUUUAUCUGGGGGAUAGCCUUUCGAAAGGAAGAUUAAUACCCCAUAAUAUAAUGAUUGGCAUCAAUUAUAUUGAAAACUCCGGUGGAUAGAGAUGGGCACGCGCAAGAUUAGAUAGUUGGUGAGGUAACGGCUCACCAAGUCAAUGAUCUUUAGGGGUCCUGAGAGGGAGAUCCCCCACACUGGUACUGAGACACGGACCAGACUCCUACGGGAGGCAGCAGUGAGGAAUAUUGGACAAUGGGUGAGAGCCUGAUCCAGCCAUCCCGCGUGAAGGAUGACGGUCCUAUGGAUUGUAAACUUCUUUUGUACAGGGAUAAACCUACCCUCGUGAGGGUAGCUGAAGGUACUGUACGAAUAAGCACCGGCUAACUCCGUG
rnacentral:rRNA from 1 species